UAGAUUGUCCAAUUUCUUUCUUCCUUCUCUUAUUAAGAUAAGUCCAAAUAUAGUAAGGGCAAGUCCAAUUUAGGACAAGGGCUUAAGAAGAUAGUAAAGGAAGACAAAAAGAUAAGAAAGGUAGAGAAAGACAAAAGCCAAGGGAGGAGGGUGUUUAGAAAAACAUAAGAGGAGUGUUGUGCUACCCAAAUUAAUGAAGAAAAGUCUUGAAGGAGUUUGUAUCC
rnacentral:lncRNA from 1 species